GAAAACGAGAAAUCAGCGAACAAAAAACAGGGAAAAUCCUACGGUCCUAUGGUAGAAGAAACGAAAAACAGGGAAAAUCCUACGGUCCAGAUGGUUUCAAUCGUCUUGCAACUCCUGUAGAACACUGUGAGCCGUGGAUGUCCAAAGUUAGCCGGUCCACUUCAUAUAAGUAACGCCUUCGGCGAAUCAAUGUGAACUGGAUAGCCAUUGAAUAACAAAUUCAUGCACAUCCAAACCUUCGACCUGCAAUCGAAAACUUUAAAAUUGGUCAAAAUGUCCAUUAGUCCAGUCGUUCAUCGCUGAGAAUGAAAUUGUCUAAUAUGGAACGAAGGGGUAUCACAGAGGAUUACGCAUGUGCAUUUUGUUUGCAAGUAGCAUGGAAUGGCAAACAACAAGGCCUCAUGUAUGCUUCUGUUCGCCCUAUCAUCCAUCAUCUAUAGUCCAUUCAUGAAAUUCGAUGAUUGUAGGAUAUGCACAAAUUGCCUUUGUUGAGAAGGCUUUAGAAACGUUCAAGCAAUUGCAAUUGGCAGGUGUGAAGCCAGUCUUCGCAACCUUCAUCAACAUCCUCCCUGCCUAUGCUAAAGAGAUUUGAAACAGAGUAUGGAGAUACAUCAUAGGAUAAAGGAUAGCGAAUUUAUUUUUGUAUUUUCAACUUCCCUGGCAGACAUGUAUGCAAAACGUGGAAGUAUAUACAAGGCACGUCAAUUGUUUGACAAAAUGUCUAAAAAGAGAAGUCACCUCAGGGGACGCCACGAUUCCAGGAUUUUCAUAAAAAAUGGAUGUAUUGUAAAGGGUUUAGAAACUUUCAAGUUGGCAGAUGUAAAGGCCAACUCUGCAACCUUUGUCAUUGUCUUCCUAACCUGUGCAAAAUGAGAGCUUUGGACCAGGGUACAGAUAAAAUCAGAUUUAGUGGUUUGCAUGACAAUAUACAGGCAGAUUCCUUGCUAUUUCCCACGCCAUAUUACCUUUCUAGUUCUCUAAGUUACUUGCCUUUUCAUACAGCCAAAAAUGAAAGUAGACUAGCUUACAACUUGAUUGGAUAUAUUUCUCUAGCAUUAGGUUUUCUAGGAUUACUUUAUCUGUCAAUUUUCUAAUCUAAACCAAACAAGAGAAUUCAGAUUUA